AACCUGUAACAUAUAAUAUGUACAUAAAAAAAGGCAUAAGUAAUUUUUAAAUUCAAUGAGACCACUUAUAAGAUGCAUUUUGGGAAGGGAAAUUACAAUAAUCUUCAAAACUUGUAGGUCAAAGUGCUACAGAAGAUUACAGUUAGGGCAGCUGUUUCACGUUGUAGAUAUGUCGGUCCAUAUUGUGCACCAAGUAAUCAUAAUUCAGUAAUCAUUGCAUAA